rnacentral:misc_RNA from 1 species
UUUCUCCACAUCUACAGUUAGCGGGAAAGAUGGUUAGAGAAAAAUCAGGGAGUGUUGGAGGAAAUUUCGAAACCACCUUCUCUCCCAUGUUAUUUUUGAAGAAAAUCAGCGAAGAAGAAAUAUAAUUUGGAUAAAUUUAGCUUUGAUGACAUGAAUUCCAUGAAAGAACAUGUCCUUCAACACAUGAGAAGGUUGUGGAAUAACUGGAGAGGAUCACUUCACAAGAUUAUGAAGUCUAAGCCAUUUGGUGAUGCUCUAAGAGAUAUGCAAAGAGGGGUAGACAAGAGUAA